UUUGAAUAUUCACAACGACUCUCUGGUAUCCUGAUGAGAGAUUUCUUUCCCUGUUCCCGCUGAUUUUGAGGACAGUUGCUACUUUGUCCUGAGGACUGCUGGAUCCUUGAAUCAAAGCUGUACAAGAUAUGAAUCUUCGUAGCAGCGGAUGUCACUCGCAGCCCAGUGGUUAGGCAUCCACCUCCAACAUGGGAGACUGCGCUUCCCGAAAUCCUGCUCUGAACCAAGCAGAAGGAAGACUUCAGCCCACACGUCCCUGUAUUGAGACGAAUGUCAUCCUUACUGAGACAUGAGCUGGCCAUCCUCCAUGAGAGGUCAAAGCAUCUAACGAGGAAAUAGACCCUUAAGAGAACACCGUCGUUCAAGUCAAUGCUGCAGUUGAGAAGAAGGAUGGGAAGGUGGCGUGCAAAAAAUAGAGCAGCUCUGACUUUUCCCCGAAAGCUUGUCAAGAAAAAAAAAAAAAGAUUUCAGAGCUGGUAUUUUUGCACUACAUAUUCAGCAUUCACAACAAACUCAUAAUGCCAAGAAAUGUGGAUUGUAACCUGAAUGAAAUGAAAAGUGGAGCUUUGGAAGCUGAAUGGCUGGUUCCCUGCCCUGUUCUCCUCUCUUUGUAAAGGUAAUGAAGGUUAACCUGAGCAAUCAGAUAGGGAUUCCUUUUGUAUAAUUGAAUUUCUGAUGGCUUUAAUCCACCUACCGAUGGUUUAUUGCAUAAAAAACAUGUCAGGGAGCUGAAAGCGAAUGCCUGGAGAGUUCAGCAGUACAGAGCCAACAGAAUGGUUCCAGGUGCUGUGAACAGGAGCAGGCUUCCAGCUGCUGUCAGUGUCAUCGCAGACCAAACACUCUGUCCCCAAGUCCCAAGGAAAAUACCAGUGGUGUCACACACCAGACACAGCUGAAGCGGAUUUGCUGUAGUUCUGGACCUACAAGUUUUGUUCUCCUUUUAACACUCUGAACUGUAAAAUAAUAAAUGUGCAUUUGCAGACUGUUAUCUCUGGGCCUUGCCAGAGAUAUGUCAUCUGAUUAUGCAUGUAGGUAGCAUUUAACAUCAUCUGCCCUGACACAUUCAUAAGAUAAGACAAAAAUAAUAUUUUAUCACCAUGCAGUAACAGCCUCUUAUCAAACUCCAAAGUCUUAAUUAGGGAUUUCUCUCCAGUUUCCCGCUUGUCUGAUGACCAUAUAAAUGUCUAAACUGGAUAAUUAAUACAGUCUAUACGGCAUGAUAGUAUACAGCAAUUUAAAGCUCUAUGCAGUAAGCUCAACAGAAACAUUUCCCUUUUACAGUGCUGGGAAUUCAUCUAAAUAUGUGCAUCUAGAAGUUCCUCUUAUGAUAUUGAUUCUACUUUUUCACUUUAUAGUUUCUGUGAGGGAAUGCUAUUGUCUCCAUUCUUCAUAAACUCUGAGAGAUGAAAGGGUAUUAGGUUGUUUAUGAUCCUUGGCAUAAAUGACUUUCUAUGUUUUAUUUCAAAUCUUAAUCAAUAUUUGGUCUGUAGUUUGCAGAUUAAUAUACAUACAAGAUGUACACAUUCUACAGUGGGAAAAACCUACCCAGUGCUUCAUUUAUAUUCCAAAUCUAUGAUCCCUAUUUUUCUUAGCAAAAAGCUUCUUGCAAAUUUAAACUGGAGCUUUUCAAGUUCCUUAUCCAUUUCUACCACUGUAGGAAUUAUGUCUAAUAUUUAAACAAGUUUUUAGGGAAUGAGGCAAAGACUGAGAAGUGAUAUUAGUCUCUACAAAAACCACGUUUCCAGAAUUUUCCCUUGAUUGUUCUUUAAAUAUAAGUAGUGGCAUCUGUUUUUUUCAAGCAAUUACUAAAGGGAAAAUAUUCCUGGAAGUCUUCACAGUCUAAUGCACUGGUGUGCGAUUUGUGUCUCCUAGAUGAAGAGAUUCAUAAAAUUUUGAAACUCCUUACAGGUCCAGCCAGGAACAAGGCGGAUCCAUCAUGAGGGGAAGAAUUUUAGGUUCAUCUCCCCGUGCAGGACAGCUGGAUGGGUGGGACCGUCGUUUUGGGGCAGUGCUGUGCUUAACCUGGGGGUAGUGGGAGCAGCGUCUGACCCAGGCUGGGCACAGGACAAAGCUCCAGAAGCCAUAAACUGAACACUGCCACUCCUUGAACUUAACAUACGCAGAGACAGUGAUGUCAGAAACCAGCGUUAAUUGUAUGCAGCAAGAUCUGAGACCAAAUUUACAGGCAACAGAAUAUAAAGAAUAUUAAUAUCAGAAAAUCAGUAACAAUUUCAAACUCUGGGGGAGAACUGAGAUCACUGCUACUGAAUUUGUAGUAGCUGCUUAGAGAUGUAACAGUAAGAUUUCAACAGUUCAGAAACUUUGCUUACAGUUGGAUUUGUUCUGAUCAAAGAGCCUGUUAAAGAAAAAGGAGGAAGUAGGAAAAGCACAAAAACAAGCAAGAUGGACUGAUGCCACAACACAGUGCUGGCCUUGGGAAAUUAAUUCUAACACUUGGAAAACAUUGUAGCUGUCUGCGUCACAAGAAAGACGUUAAUGAUGAAAUAAAUUUGGGGAAAUCUGAGGAUGAUUGCAGAGGAUCUGCUCUAUGGGAUGGUGAAGACACUAAUAAAAUUCAAAAAAUUUCCAGAUAAAUUUUGGACCACUAGAAAUUUAUUUUUAAACAUGUAAAUG